UGGGGUUUUUGGGGACACUGGGGACAUUUGGGGACAUUUGGGGUCAUUUAUUUGGGGCCAUUUGGGACCAUUUGGGUGGGUUUGGGGGACAUUUAGGGUGGUUUUGGGGCCAUUUUGGGUGUUUGGGGGGCCAUUUUGGGUGCUUUUGGGGCCAUUUUGGGUGCUUUUGGGGGAUAUUUUGGGAUUUUGGGUUUUUGGGACCAUUUUGGGGCCAUUUUGGGGCCAUUUGGGACCAUUUGGGUGGGUUUGGGGGACAUUUAGGGUGGUUUUGGGGCCAUUUUGGGUGUUUGGGGGGCCAUUUUGGGUGCUUUUGGGGCCAUUUUGGGUGCUUUUGGGGGAUAUUUUGGGAUUUNNNNNNNNNNGACACUGGGGACAUUUGGGGCCAUUUGGGGCCAUUUUGGUGGUUUUGGGGGGACAUUUGGUGGGUUUGGGGGCCAUUUUGGGUGCUUUUGGGGUUAUAUUUUGGGAUUUGGGGUUUUUGGGACCAUUUUGGGGUCAUUUUGGGGCCAUUUGGGACCAUUUGGGUGGGUUUGGGGGACAUUUAGGGUGGUUUGGGGGCCAUUUUGGGUGGUUUUGGGGCCAUUUUGGGUGGUUUUAGGGCCAUUUUGGGUGCUUUUGGGCUUAUAUUUUGGGAUUUUGGGUUUUUGGGACCAUUUUGGGGCAAUUUUGGGGCAAUUUGGGACCAUCCUUGCCCUCCUUCCCCCGCAGGUCCCCCCAGAAGAAGACGCGGCCACCCCGCGGCCCCCGGUGACGUCCCCGCGUCCCCCCCGGGCCACCAAACGUCCCCAAAUUUCCCCAAAUCCCCCCUUGGGGGCCCCAAAACCACCCAAAAAGCCCCGGCUGGCCCCGGGGGGCCGCUGUCCCCAAACGUCCCCAAAUUCGUGUCCCCAAAUGUCCCAAACGACCCCAAAUUCGUGUCCCCAAACGUCCCCAAAUUCGUGUCCCCAAAUGUCCCCAAAUUCGUGUCCCCAAACGUCCCAAAAGUCCCGAACCUCAAUGUCCCCAAAUUCGUGUCCCCAAAUGUCCCAAACGACCCCAAAUUCGUGUCCCCAAACGUCCCCAAAUUCGUGUCCCCAAAUGUCCCCAAAUUCGUGUCCCCAAAUGUCCCAAACGACCCCAAAUUCAUGUCCCCAAACCUCGAGGACCUCCGAUUUGUCCCCGUGUCCCCAAAUGUCCCCAAAUUCGUGUCCCCAAAUGUCCCAAACGACCCCAAAUUUGUGUCCCCAAACCUCCUUGAGGUCCUCCAACUCUUCUCCUCCAACCUCUUCGAGGUUCUCCAAGCCAUGUUCUCAAAGGUUGAGGUCCUCCAACCCAUCCCAACCUUCUCCAACCUCCUCCAACCCAUGUCCUCCACCCCCUUUGAGGUCCUCCAACCCAUCCUCAUGUCCUUCAACUUCCUUGACCUCCUCUAACUCUUCUCCUCCAAUGUCCUCCAGGUCCUCCACCCCAUCCCAACCUCCUCCAACGUCCUUGACCUUCUCCAACCCACGUCCUCCAACCUCCUCGAGGUCCUCCAAGCCAUGUUCUCAAACGUUGAUGUCCUCCAACCCAUCUCUACCUCCUCCAACCUCCUCAACCUCCUCCAACUCUUGUCCUUCACCCUCCUUGAGGUCCUCCACCCCACAUCCUCCAACCUUCUCGAGGUCUUCCAAGCCAUGUUCUCAACGCUUGAGGUCCUCCAACCCAUCCCGACCUCCUCCAACCUCCUUGACCUCCACCCCAUGUCCUCAACCCUCCUUGAGGUCCUCCAACUCUUCUCCUCCAACCUCUUUGAGGUCCUCCAACUCAUCCUCAUGUCCUCCAACCUCCUCGAUCUCCUCCACCUCUUCUCCUCCAACCUCCUUGAGGUCCUCCAACCCAUCCCCACCUCCUCCAACCUCCUCCAACUCUUCUCCUCCAACCUCUUCGAGGUCCUCCAAGCCAUGUUCUAAAAGGUUGAGGUCCUCCACCCCAUCCCAACCUUCUCCAACCUCCUCCACCCCACAUCCUCCACCCCCGUUGAGGUC
rnacentral:lncRNA from 1 species